rnacentral:rRNA from 1 species
ACCUUGAUUUUGCUCGGGACGAACGCUAGCGGCGCGCCUAACACAUGCAAGUCGAGCGGGAAGCUUUUUAAGGAUUCUUCGGAUGAAUUAAAAANUGGAGAGCGGCGGACGGGUGAGUAACGCGUGAGAAACCUGCCCUAUACAGGGGGAUAGCCAUUGGAAACGAUGAUUAAUACCCCAUAUGACCACAGUAUCGCAUGAUACAGCGGUGAAAGCUCCGGUGGUAUAGGAUGGUCUCGCGUCUGAUUAGCUAGUUGGUGGGGUAACGGCCUACCAAGGCGACGAUCAGUAGCCGGCCUGAGAGGGUGACCGGCCACACUGGAACUGAGACACGGUCCAGACUCCUACGGGAGGCAGCAGUGGGGAAUAUUGCACAAUGGGCGAAAGCCUGAUGCAGCGACGCCGCGUGAACGAUGAAGGCUUUCGAGUCGUAAAGUUCUGUUCUUGGGGAAGAUAACGACGGUACCCAAGGAGAAAGCACCGGCUAAAUACGUGCCAGCAGCCGCGGUA